rnacentral:rRNA from 1 species
GAAAUGAAAGUGGCGAACGGGUGAGUAACACGUGAGCAACCUACCUUACACAGAGGGAUAGCCGUUGGAAACGACGAUUAAUACCGCAUGAGACCACAGAAUCGCAUGAUAUAGGGGUCAAAGAUUUAUCGGUGUAAGAAGGGCUCGCGUCUGAUUAGCUAGUUGGAAGGGUAAAGGCCUACCAAGGCGACGAUCAGUAGCCGGUCUGAGAGGAUGAACGGCCACAUUGGAACUGAGACACGGUCCAAACUCCUACGGGAGGCAGCAGUGGGGAAUAUUGCACAAUGGGGGGAACCCUGAUGCAGCGACGCCGCGUGAGCGAAGAAGGUUUUCGAAUCGUAAAGCUCUGUCCUAUGAGAAGAUAAUGACGGUAUCAUAGGAGGAAGCCCCGGCUAAAUACGUGCCAGCAGCCGCGGUAAUACGUAUGGGGCGAGCGUUGUCCGGAAUUAUUGGGCGUAAAGGGUACGUAGGCGGUUUUUUAAGUCAGGUGUGAAAGCGUGAGGCUUAACCUCAUUAAGCACUUGAAACUGGAAGACUUGAGUGAAGGAGAGGAAAGUGGAAUUCCUAGUGUAGCGGUGAAAUGCGUAGAUAUUAGGAGGAAUACCGGUGGCGAAGGCGACUU